GGGGGUGUGGCUCAAUGGUAGAGCACUUGCUUAGCAUGCUCAAGGCCCUGAGUUCAAUCCCCAGUACCACAG
rnacentral:tRNA from 1 species